CAGCAGUGAGGAAGGCGGAGUCGUUAAUAGCGGCUCGUUUGACGUUAGCUGCAGAAGAAAGCACCGGCUAACUCCGUGCCAGCAGCCGCGGUAAUACGGAGGGUGCGAGCGUUAAUCGGAAUUACUGGGCGUAAAGCGCAUGCAGGUGGUUUGUUAAGUCAGAUGUGAAAGACCCGGGGCGUCAACCUCGGAAUAGCAUUUGAAACUAGGCAGACUAGAGUACUGUAGAGGGGGGUAGGAAUUUCAGGUGUAGCGGUGAAAUGCGUAGAGAUCUGAAGGAAUACCGGUGGCGAAGGCGGCCCCCUGGACAGAUACUGACACUCAGAUGCGAAAGCGUGGGGAGCAAACAGGAUUAGAUACCCUGGUAG
rnacentral:rRNA from 1 species